rnacentral:rRNA from 1 species
AACGUAGGAGACGAACGUUAUCCGGAGUUACUGGGCGUAAAGGGCGUGCAGGCGGUCUGAUAAGUUCGGCGUGAAAUAUUCCGGCUUAACCGGGAUAGGUCGUCGGAGACUGUCGGACUAGAGGGUGAUAGAGGCGUGUGGAAUUCCGGGUGUGAGUGGUGAAAUGCGUAGAGAUCCGGAGGAACACCAGUGGCGAAGGCGACACGCUGGGUCAGCACCUGAACGGCUAAAGCGCGACAGCAUGGGGAGCGAACGGG